rnacentral:rRNA from 1 species
AGGUAGCAAAAUCAAUUGUUCAUUAAUUGUGGACUGGUAUCAAUGGCUUGACGAUAGAAAAACUGUCUCUUUCUACUUCUUUAGAACUUUAUUAAAGAGUGAAGAAGCUCUUAUAAGUUAGCGGGACGAGAAGACCCCGUUGAGCUUUAGGUGCUUAAACUUACUUAAAAGUUUACCACUUUUGGUUGGGGCAACCGAUUUUAAUAUUAAACAAAAAUAAUCAAAAAAUGAAUUAAAUCUUAUCUUUAAGCCUUAAUUUUAAGAAAAUAUAAUAAGUUACCACGGGGAUAACAGCGUAAUUUUUUUUGAGAGUUCUUAUUGACAAAAAAGUUUGCGACCUCGAUGUU